rnacentral:rRNA from 1 species
UACGUAGGGGGCUAGCGUUGUCCGGAAUCACUGGGCGUAAAGAGCGCGUAGGCGGCCAGAUAAGUCCGGUGUGAAAGUCAAAGGCUCAACCUUUGAAUGCCGCUGGAAACUGUCUGGCUAGAGUCCGGGAGGGGCGAGUGGAAUUCCUGGUGUAGCGGUGAAAUGCGCAGAUAUCAGGAGGAACACCGGUGGCGAAGGCGGAUCUCUGGGCAGUUCCUGACGCUGAGGCACGAAGGCCAGGGGAGCAAACGGG